UACGUAGGGGGCAAGCGUUGUCCGGAUUUAUUGGGCGUAAAGAGCGUGUAGGCGGCUAGGUAGGUCCGUUGUGAAAACUCGAGGCUCAACCUCGAGACGCCGGUGGAAACCAUCUAGCUAGAGUCCGGAAGAGGAGAGUGGAAUUCCUGGUGCAGCGGUGAAAUGCGCAGAUAUCAGGAAGAACACCCGUGGCGAAGGCGGCUCUCUGGGACGUGACUGACGCUGAGACGCGAAAGCGUGGGGAGCGAACAGG
rnacentral:rRNA from 1 species